AUUGAACGCUGGCGGCAGGCCUAACACAUGCAAGUCGAACGAGUGGCGGACGGGUGAGUAAUGUCUGGGAAACUGCCUGAUGGAGGGGGCUAACUACUGGAAACGGUAGCUAAUACCGCAUACCAUAAGAUUUGCCCAGUUGGGAUGAGCUGGUUGGUGGGGUAACGGCUCACCAAGGCGACGAUCCCUAGCUGGUCUGAGAGGAUAACCGGUCAAGCUGGAACGGAGACACGGGCCAGACUCCUACGGGAGGCAGCAGUGGGGAAUAUUGCACAAUGGGCGAAAGCCUGAUGCAGCCAUGCCGCGUGUAUGAAGAAGGCCUUCGGGUUGUAAAGUACUUUCAGCGGGGAGGCGUUACCCGCAGAAGAAGCACCGGCUAACUCCGUGCCAGCAGCCGCGGUAAUUC
rnacentral:rRNA from 1 species